ACAGAUGGUCGACGCGGGUCAAAGUGUAGUAUCUGUUCUUAUCAGCUCAAUAUCUGAUACGGACUAUAUUUGGACCCAAUAUAUUAAACUUAUUUUUGCAAGCUGGCGGAGUGCUUGAAGCCUGCUUCACCUCCGCCGCGGUACGGCCGGUAUUGCACUAUCUCCGCGAUCGGCCCACGAAUC